GUCUUCUCAUGAGCUCCUCUCCGCCCACUUGAUGGCGGUGUUUGGAUUCGCACGAGAAGUAGAUCAAACCACAGCCUGACUGCUUGGCGCCACCCAUUUUGUGGGAGUUUGCUUUGUCAGUUGUGAAACAUCA